rnacentral:rRNA from 1 species
CCUACGGGUGGCAGCAGUGAGGAAUAUUGGUCAAUGGACGCGAGCCUGAACCAGCCAAGUAGCGUGAAGGAUGACUGCCCUAUGGUUUGUAAACUUCUUUUAUAUGGGAAUAAAAUGUUCCACUCGUGGCAUUGUGUAUUUACCAUAAGAACAAGCAUCGGCUCACUCCGUGCCAGCAGCCGCGGUAAUACGGGGGAUGCGAGCGUUAUCCGGAUUUAUUGGGUUUAGAGGGAGCGGAGGGGUAUUGUUAAGUCAGUUGUGAUAGUCAGCGGCUCAACCGGAGCAUUGCAGUUGAAACUGGUAGUCUUGAGUACAGUAGAGGUGGGCGGAAUUCGUGGUGUAGCGGUGAAAUGCGUAGAUAUCAGGAAGAACGCCGAUUGCGAAGGCAGUACACUGGACAGCAACUGACGCUGAGGCGCGAAAGUGUGGGUAUCAAACAGGAUUAGAUACCCGGGUAGUC